rnacentral:rRNA from 1 species
UACGUAGGGUCCGAGCGUUGUCCGGAAUUACUGGGCGUAAAGAGCUCGUAGGUGGUUUGUCGCGUUGUCCGUGAAAACUCACAGCUCAACUGUGAGCGUGCGGGCGAUACGGGCAGACUGGAGUACUGCAGGGGAGACUGGAAUUCCUGGUGUAGCGGUGGAAUGCGCAGAUAUCAGGAGGAACACCGGUGGCGAAGGCGGGUCUCUGGGCAGUAACUGACGCUGAGGAGCGAAAGCGUGGGGAGCGAACAGG